rnacentral:rRNA from 1 species
CACCAGACUCCUACGGGAGGCAGCAGUGGGGGAUAUUGCACAAUGGGGGGAACCCUGAUGCAGCGACGCCGCGUGGGUGAAGGAGCGUUUCGGCGCGUAAAGCCCUAUCGGCAGGGAAGAAGGAGGACGGUACCUGACUAAGAAGCCCCGGCUAACUACGUGCCAGCAGCCGCGGGAAUACGUAGGGGGCAAGCGUUAUCCGGAUUUACUGGGUGUAAAGGGAGCGUAGACGGCUAGUCAAGUCAGAAGUGAAAGCCCAGGGCUCAACCUUGGGACUGCUUUUGAAACUGAGUAGCUAGAGUGCAGGAGAGGUAAGCGGAAUUCCUAGUGUAGCGGUGAAAUGCGUAGAUAUUAGGAGGAACACCAGUGGCGAAGGCGGCCUGCUGGACGACAACUGACGGUGAGGCGCGAAAGCGUGGGGAGCAAACAGGAUUAGAUACCCCGGUACUC